UAGCAUAUACAUGCAAGUUACAUGUGAAUUGUAUAUCAUAUACAUGUAAGUUACAUGUGAAUUGUAUAUCAUAUACAUGCAAGUUACAUGUGAAUAGCCGUGUUUCGAGUUCCUCCGGAACACCCGGGAUUUUUCGUAUUUAGCCACGCCGGUCACGUGAUAUGAGCAAAAUGUUCCACAGGGGUACUUCCGGUUAAUUUUGUUUACACUGGUAACAAAAUUGUUUUUGACAAAAUAUAGAUUUUGCGGCACAAACUGUCGCAAAUCAGAUAAAGGAUAGCAAGGGAUAUAUAUUUACUUGGGAAGAUGUCAAAGUUUACCUUUUCCCAAACCCGGGAAAAGCGUUCACGCAGAGGAAACGAUGGCGUCAUUUGUGUAGAAAACCACGAGCAGCCAAAAUUGAGUGCGAUUAUUACAUUCCGUGAAAGCUGAACCAACAAAGGAACAUCAUUAUUCUAGCAAGUUUCCUUAUAUUAACUUUUAGGAAAACCAAGAGGUUGAUAACAAUGGCUGAUCUGCAUAUAAUGACUGCUAGUUAUUGGCUGGUAUGCAGUGAAAGGGAGCUAAAAAGGAGUAAAAAGUUCAUAUCAGCCAGGUGAGAAUUAAUUUCUUCUUUUUUGUGUGUUAUACAUAUGUAAUUCUUUUCUUUUGCUGCUUCAAAUCUUGUGUAUUUGAAAAUUUUCAGUCUAAUAUUUUGGCAAUGUUAUAGGUAGUGUGGCUUAAAUAAACCAGUGUUAAGGAAUAUCCAGUAAUGGCAUGACAUCAUGAGAGUUUGGCAUACCGACAUUCAGAUGAUUAAUGAUGAAACUGAAGACCUCAAGUGAAAGGCAUGGAAAAUGAUCCUGUUCCCAUAUACCUGAAAAAGAGGAGGGAUGCCACAAUAUUGAUAAUAGACUUUUGUCAAUUUGAGAAGCAAAGAUGUAAAAAAAAAAAAAAAAAAAAAAAAUAAUAAUAAUGCUGAAAUUAUAAUUCAUGUAUUUGUUAAAAAUACUGUUCACUGUACAUACAUGUAUAUUUUUUUAAACUUAUUUUUAAAUACAUGAAGUAAUUCAUAUUAAAACUGUGAAUGUA